rnacentral:misc_RNA from 1 species
GUUUCGUGUUAUGCAUCCUUCUACUGCUACUCCCUCAUGUUCAGAGAUCAUCGGCCACUGCUGUGACCGACCCAGUUGAAGUGAGGGCCCUGAACACAAUGCUGGGGAGAUGGGGCCAGUCAGCAUCUCUGAACUGGAAUAUAAGUGGUGAGCCAUGCAGCGGUUGGGCUAUCGAUGCUACCGACUUUCACAACUCGGCCUUCAAUCCAGCCAUCAAAUGUGACUGUAGUUUCAGCAACAAUAGAACCUGCCACAUCA